rnacentral:lncRNA from 1 species
GGAUCAACUGGCUUGUCUGUGUUUCCUGAAUGUAUGUUUUACCAUUUUUGCCCUGGAUAUUUGGCAGGAAGCUGGCCUGGAGGACUGGAGCCCAUUGCGGUGUAUCCUCUUGUCUGAGCCCCACAGUCUCCCCGAGGAGCCAGCAUCCUGUGCUGUAUGGGCCAGAGUGUGCUGAGCAAGGGAAGGAAUCCCAUGCUUUUGGCCUCAUUUUCUCUUGAUAGGUAAGACCCACCAUGGCAGUUCCUUACCUCCCAUGCAAAGUCAGUUACUUCCCUGAGGCUAGACCUAGAGCUCAGUGUUUGGCCCUGCCUACCCUCCUUCAUUCCAUAGAUGCCAUGCACAGAAGUCCAGAAUCAUGGGUCUCAGACUGGCCUACAACACCCCUAAGUAGGAGUUCUUCAUCCUUUUAAGGGGGAUUCCCACAGCCCUCUUCACGUCCUCUACUGGGCCAAACUUUCACAAUAUAAAAACCUAUUACUGAUUAGAGCAAUAGCUCAAAAGCUAAGCCAAAAUGGCGCUAGGUGCUUCACACACACAAUCUCAUUUAGUCCUCACAACAACCCUUUGGAGUAGGGAAUACUUAUACCCAUUGUUAUUGAUGAGAAAACCGAGGCUCUAAAACGCUGUAGUAUUGGCCAGGGAAACAGAACUAAUAAGUAGACUCAGGUCUGUUUGUCUUCGCCACUCAAUCAUUAACCUAUACUUUCUUUCUUCUUUUAAUUACUCUGUAACUCUUGGACCUACCCAUGGUCUGGAUCUGGAAUAUUAUGGAUACUGAUGAAUGCUUAUCUCUGUUGAUACUUGCUUCAUAAAGAUUUCGCUAAGAAGCAAAUUCUCUUCAGUCUGUUUGGGUCCCAAACCUGUCCUAUUUUCUGCCUGUGUGACCUUGAAUAACUUGCUUAACUAAAGUCUCAAGUCUUAGGUCUGAAAAAUAUACAGAUUUCAUAGGGCUUUUUAAAAAUUAUUUAAAAACGUUUAAAAUGUUUAUUUAUUUUUGAGAGAGAGAGAGAGAGAGAGAGAGCGCGCAAUUGGGGGAAGGGCAGAGGGAGACACAGAAUUUGAAACAGGCUCCAGUCUCUCAGCUGUCAGCACAGAGCCCAGCACAGGGCUUGAACUCACAAACCAUGAGAUCAUGACCAGAGCCUAAGUUGGAUGCUUAACUGACUGAGUCACCCAGGAGCCCCCAUGGGGCUUGUUUUAACGGCUAAAGGAGAUGAGACAUGCAGAGGGCUUGGCACCCACUGUAAGCCAUCCUCUCAGGGGCCUCAUUGUGGUACAUUUGGAGCUCCAUGCCUGGCAGCAAGCAAUGUCCCUGUGAAGUAUGAAUCAAUGAAGUGUUUUCUGUUCCAAACACAAACCCAUGUCCUUUCCAUCCCUGCAAAUUGUACGUGGUUGCUUGUGACAAUCAUCCCAACUGCUGAUUUCAGUUUUGUCUUCUCUUGCAACCCAGCCUUCUCACCUGUUGGUGUCAGUUGUGAAGGGAAACACAGUGUAGACUACCAAAUCCUGCUUUCUUUUUAGUCCAGGUGCCCAAGCCCUGGAUUUUCCAAAUGCCUUGUUUCUUUGGAUCUUUAGACGUGAGCAGAGGAGCAGGAAAGAGAGACCAAAACUGGAAUUGACUCCUUAAAGCCUUGGUCUGCUUUUCGGUCCCUCCUACUUCCAUUCUUCCCCCCAACACACACAAAAGAAUCCUAGGUUAUCUCCCAGAAGCUGCAAGCAGGGUGAGGUAAUAAAACAGAUGACUGCCUGCCCCAUGUGAUGGCGGGUGAAUCAUCCCCAGGCAUUCUGCAAGGCUGAAGACAAACGUGAAAGGGAUUAAAGGUAAAACCAGCCCAGCCACGUGAUAGGGCAAACUGGACAUUAUUCUACAGGUGACUAAACUGCAGGAAUGUGAACUGAAGACAAGAAGCCCAGCCUCUCCCGGCCUUCCUCCUGGGGCUGUGUCUGGCUGCCCGUGAGCUGAGUCGGAGGCAUGGCCAGUACCGGAGCUGAGCAGAAGUGACUAUAGGACAAGACUUUCUUCGUGUACUUUCACAUCCAGUGGCCCAUAGGAGACACUUGAGCCCAGGACAGGUUCUCUUGUUUUGUUUUUUUUUUUUUUAAAGCUUAUUUAUUUAUUUUUUCAAUAUGUGAAAUUUAUUGUCAAAUUGGUUUCCAUACAGCACCCAGUGCUCACCCCAAAAUCUCUUGUUUUUUAAAAAGACGCCCACUUAAAACCUUGCCCCCUCUGCAUGAGCAAAGAAGAAAGGCCAGUUUGCACAUAUGUGUUUCAGAGAAUGUUUGAGUGGCAGGGUAACAUAUUUCAUGAAGAUGGUAAGGAGGAGAAAUGAAGCUUAAAAAAAAAAAAAGGAACAGAAAUGUCAGCAGUAGUUUCUUGUUAGCUUCUAAAUUCUUCAGGGAAAUGAAGGCUGUGAAGACCUCUGCUGAGAUUUUUCUUCCUAUUCCAUGUUUGUAACUCCCUGCCUCAUGCUGUCCUUCCCACACAUACUUCCUUUUGUAUGAUUGAGCCCAGAAUGUCCCUUUUCUAUAGCCAUGCAUUAUUUGAGGUUCAUAACUGGGCUCAUGGACUGUUCUUUUCAAUGAUGGGAAACAUGUCCUAAGCCGGAGAAAAUUGGGCUUGAAGAAACCUUGGCAAUAGGAGAACCGAGGUAGAAGAGAUGGCUUUUUAAUUUAUUUCUGGGUCCUCAGUGCUUAAUACAGUGCUUGAAAAUAAAUCAAAAUAAGUCUAGCACAGCCUACUCAUUUUACAAGUAGAAGGGGUGUCUGAAUAAUGACUCAUUGCCCUUGUUUUUACCAGUUCCAUUUUACAGAUGUGUAAACUGAGAUUCUAAGACAUAAGGUGACUUUCUUGCAGUGACAUAGCAUAUAAUAGAGUCAAGAUUCCAACUCAGCUCCUUCUAGUAAGUAGGUUUUGGCUUCUGAAUUCAUAACUGUGUGGGCUCUAGAGUGUCAGUGAAAGAGGAACUUCAGGACACAGUCUGGUUGGAAGGGGGUAGAGGAGUAUCCAGGAGAUUAUCUUGAACUCCUGCUUUCAUUUGAAUUGCUUAUCUACUUGGAGUGGCUGGACAUGGGAGCCGGCAUACUGAGGUCAUAGCUGAGUUUACAAUGAGAGGGCAGGAUUGAGGCAGGGGUUCUGAGUUCUAAGCAGAAGAUAGACCAGCCUGAUUCUUUACCUCUACCAGUGCUUUCAACAAGACCCUCCUGGGGGAUUAGGUAUCAGCGGUUCGAAGCCCAAGCUGUCACCAUUGGAAGGAGGAGCACUUUUCUCCCCAUGCUGCCUGCCUCUCUCCCCCCUUUUUAUCCCUUUCUUGUUCAUUUACUAACUGAACUGGAUUUCUUCUGGACAGGAGGCUACCCUGGGGCUGGUAGGAGAGGUUUUGACUUUCCCAUCCAAGAGUCUUCUGGGUACUGGGGGCUAGGAGCUGUUGAGUCUUUCCCUGGAGGAUGAGGAAAUGAAUUCUGCACUGAAGGAGGAGGUGGAGAUCUCAGUUUCAAGGGUGGGGGUGUGGAGAGGAGAGAGAGAGUGUGAGCAGAGGGAGGGAGUUCCUGCAGAGCAGUGCUUUCCUCUGCCCCCACCCCAGCAGCAGCAGAGGAGCCCUGGUGGGAAAUAGGGG